GAUGAACGCUGGCGGCGUGCCUAAUACAUGCCAGUCGAGCGAACGGACGAGAAGCUUGCUUCUCUGAUGUUAGCGGCGGACGGGUGAGUAACACGUGGAUAACCUACCUAUAAGACUGGGAUAACUUCGGGAAACCGGGGCUAAUACCGGAUGAUAUUUUGAACCGCAUGGUUCAAAAGUGAAAGACGGUCUUGCUGUCACUUAUAGAUGGAUCCGCGCUGCAUUAGCUAGUUGGUAAGGUAACGGCUUACCAAGGCAACGAUGCAUAGCCGACCUGAGAGGGUGAUCGGCCACACUGGAACUGAGACACGGUCCAGACUCCUACGGGAGGCAGCAGUAGGGAAUCUUCCGCAAUGGUCGAAAGCCUGACGGAGCAACGCCGCGUGAGUGAUGAAGGUCUUCGGAUCGUAAAACUCUGUUAUUAGGGAAGAACAUAUGUGUAAGUAACUGUGCACAUCUUGACGGUACCUAAUCAGAAAGCCACGGCUAACUACGUG
rnacentral:rRNA from 1 species